UACGGAGGGAGCUAGCGUUGUUCGGAAUUACUGGGCGUAAAGCGCGCGUAGGCGGCUUUUGUAAGUUAGAGGUGAAAGCCCCGGAGCUCAACUCCGGAACUGCCUUUAAAAACUGCAUCGCUUUGAAUCCAGGAGAGGUGAGUGGAAUUCCGAGUGUAGAGGUGAAAUUCGUAGAUAUUCGGAAGAACACCAGUGGCGAAGGCGGCUCACUGGACUGGUAUUGACGCUGAGGUACGAAAGCGUGGGGAGCAAACAGG
rnacentral:rRNA from 1 species